rnacentral:miRNA from 1 species
AGGAUGAGAAGGGAGGAUGAGAGGGAGAAGUAACAAAAGUGAAAACAAUUUCAAAUAGAUUUCACUUUUGUUACUCCUCCCUCACGUCCUCCACUCUCAUUCCCACUUUCAUU